GAUGAACGCUGGCGGCGUGCCUAAUACAUGCAAGUCGAGCGAGAAUUUUUCAAAUGACACUUCGGUUGAUUUUGGAAAAGGACAGCGGCGGACGGGUGAGUAACGCGUAGGCAACCUGCCCCUGACAGAGGGAUAGCCAUUGGAAACGAUGAUUAAAACCUCAUAACGCCGAAGGAACACAUGUUUCAUCGGCCAAAGAUUUAUCGGUCAGGGAUGGGCCUGCGUCUGAUUAACUAGUUGGUGAGGUAACGGCUCACCAAGGUGACGAUCAGUAGCCGACCUGAGAGGGUGAUCGGCCACAUUGGAACUGAGACACGGUCCAAACUUCUACGGAAGGCAGCAGUAGGGAAUCUUGCACAAUGGGCGAAAGCCUGAUGCAGCAACGCCGCGUGAAGGAUGAAGGCCUUCGGGUUGUAAACUUCUGUUCUUAGGGAAGAAGAAAGUGACGGUACCUAAGGAGAAAGCCCCGGCUAACUACGUGCCAGCAGCCGCCGCCG
rnacentral:rRNA from 1 species